AAGUGGAUUAGUGGCGCACGGGUGAGUAAUGCAUAGGUUAUGUGCCCUUUAGUCUGGGAUAGCCACUGGAAACGGUGAAAAUAAUACCGGAUAUUCCCUACGGGGGAAAGGUUUUUCGCUAAAGGAUCAGCCUAUGUCCUAUCAGCUUGUUGGUGAGGUAAUGGCUCACCAAGGCUAUGACGGGUAUCCGGCCUGAGAGGGUGAUCGGACACACUGGAACUGAGACACGGUCCAGACUCCUACGGGAGGCAGCAGUAGGGAAUAUUGCUCAAUGGGGGAAACCCUGAAGCAGCAACGCCGCGUGGAGGAUGAAGGUUUUCGGAUUGUAAACUCCUUUUGUUAGAGAAGAUU
rnacentral:rRNA from 1 species